GUGCCAGCCGCCGCGGUAAAACGUAGGAGGCGAGCGUUAUCCGGAUUUACUGGGCGUAAAGCGCACGCAGGUGGCUUUGUAAGUCGGACAUGAAAGCUCCUGGCUUAACUGGGAGAGGUGGUUCGAAACUGCAGAGCUUGAGGUUGGGAGAGGGACGUGGAAUUCCCGGUGUAGUGGUGGAAUGCGUAGAUAUCGGGAGGAACACCAGUGGCGCAAGCGGCGUCCUGGCCCACACCUGACGCUGAGGUGCGAAAGCGUGGGGAGCAAACAGGAUUAGAAACCCGCGUAGUCC
rnacentral:rRNA from 1 species